GCGUGGAGAGAGAAGCUUUUGAGCUGGGCAGUUGGGCGAUAUCAACCGAUACUGGCAUUCUUUUUAAGGGGAGAAGAUUGUUGCCAAUAUUGGUAGAAGGGAUAUGCUUGUGUGCUCGCAAGUGUAAAUGUGAUUGUUUACUUUUGACCGUAGAUGGAGAUCCAGCGUGGGAGAACGAGAAUUAUGGUUCUUCAUUUCUUUUUUGCCUUGGCACCCUUACGUAUCAUGAUGUUAGCAUUUGUUUGUAUCAGGAAUGAGAUUGAAAAAAUAUAUAUAUAUAUGAGAAGUCAGA
rnacentral:misc_RNA from 1 species